CUUACCCGAAACACACUGCAUGCUAAAGGACCUACAGAAAGCAUGCAUCCCGACCUUCUAACGCAUUUUACCAUGUCAUUCUGCCUGCUUACUUUUAAAAAGUAGCGUACUUUAUCAGAAAGUGAGGUUUACUGUAGAGAGGCUUGAGACAGAGAGUUGAGAUAUGAAGCACCCUGAGAGCCUGUGAUUCUUAAUAAUGAUUUAUAAUGUGUGGUAUCGGAGCCAGGGUUAUGAUUUGGAUUUAAAUCCGAGUUGAGUACAUUCUGUACCCAUUAACAGUUGAUAGCGCAUGCUUGUCUAGAUCUGAACCAGCUUUAAACUAUAGGCACCCCCGAAAGGUUCGGGUUCGUCAUCGUAAAGAUCACUUUUGGAAAUCGAUUAUGCGCCAAUAUUUACGGGCUCCUCGCCGGCGAUCAAUCCUAGACUCGGGGUCCCAUUUUGACCCCCGUUUGAAGUAGAAAUCUGACGCGUGACGCUCCGGGAUGAGCAGACUAUAUUAUAGUAACAUCACAUAGGCACGUUUUAGCGUGCGAAUGAUCAAACUAGAAGCAGACAAGAACACUGAGUAACAAACUGUAACAAACUGCCUCCUGUUGUGCUCUCUGAAUUGAUAACAACCAGUCAACCAGAGUGCAACAAUCACCAGCCUGUCUAUUAUCAACAGGACGUGGUGGAAGACCUGCUAUCCAGGGGCUCCCCCUCAUGCCACAGUGGCAAUUACACCUUCAGACAUGCAGCUUUUUUUCUUUUCUUUUUUUUCUUUUUUUUGACAGUACAGGCAGAGAUGAAUCUGAUUGGAUAAAGCCCGAAAACACCUACUGUCCAUUACGAGAUGGUUGCCAUGCGGUUUGGGCUUUUAUUUCAUUAAAGCCUCGGCUCUUUUUUCAUGGUGUAAAUGUACGAUGAACAUAGUUUAGCUUUGUAAAUAUUAUACAGAGGAAAUUGAGGUUUGAUGUCACAGUGACUAUAUUUCAGUAAUAAUAAAUGUGUUUCUCUUGCAGUGAUUUUAUUUGGUGGUUUUAAACACCUAGUUCUAAAGUUU